UCUCUCCCAAGUGGAACUUACAAGUGGAACUGUUUGGGCCUAGUGUGGUGUGUCCUGACGUGAGCUGCAGUUCGAACACAUCACAGGCCCUUUCUCAAAAGUUCACGUGAACUAUUGUUUAGCACAGCUAGCCUACUAUUAUCGUCUCCAUCUUACAGAUUCAUAAGACUGGUUGGAAUUCAGAGAAUCUCCCUGUCCUGGAAGCAGGUUACAGGGCACCACCAGCAUACCCAGCCUCAGUGAGGCAGUAAAGAGGCAUCCACCAAGUCCUUCGUGUCUGUAAGAAAACAUAAAUAUUGAGUGCACUAAA